ensembl:lncRNA
GGGAGACAGCUUGGAGGGGACUGAGCAUGCUGCACUCCAAAGAUGCAUGGAGGGAACUGGCCCCUUCUCCCAGGGUAUCCCAACUUUUUUGACUGGGUGAAAAGAAGGAACAAGAUAUCCUCUUGUCAUGUUCCAUGGCGCUCUUCUGGUAGCAUCAUUCAAUAACAUCAGUAACCAGAGACUAUUUCUGCGGCAUUUGACUGUCUGUUGGUCAAUAAACAUUUGCAGCAAAGAAG